rnacentral:rRNA from 1 species
GCAGAGCAUCCUACGGAGGCAGCAGUGGGGAAUAUUGCACAAUGGGCGCAAGCCUGAUGCAGCCAUGCCGCGUGUAUGAAGAAGGCCUUCGGGUUGUAAAGUACUUUCAGCAGUGAGGAAGGUGGGUAUGUUAAUAGCAUAUUCAUUUGACGUUAGCUGCAGAAGAAGCACCGGCUAACUCCGUGCCAGCAGCCGCGGUAAUACGGAGGGUGCGAGCGUUAAUCGGAAUUACUGGGCGUAAAGCGCAUGCAGGUGGUUUGUUAAGUCAGAUGUGAAAGCCCGGGGNUCAACCUCGGAAUUGCAUUUGAAACUGGCAAACUAGAGUACUGUAGAGGGGGGUAGAAGUUUCAGGUGUAGCGGUGAAAUGCGUAGAGAUCUGAAGGAAUACCGGUGGCGAAGGCGGCCCCCCUGGACAGAUACUGACACUCAGAUGCGAAAGCGUGGGGAGCAAACAGGAUUAGAUACCCUGGUAG